UUCAUUCCCCGAGGGCAAUCUCUAGCUCAGACCAGACGCUGCGCUGCCAAAGCCUCCUUGCUGCUCUCACUGGUUUCCAGCCAGAUCCUCCCGAGUGAUGCCAGCCACCCACGCCUCCCUCACUUCAGUCUCUGCAGGCUAGAGGGACUCAGCAUCCAGCUAGCCUUCUGCCUUCUGAGGUCUCAGCCUCAGAGGGGAUAAGCUGGUUUUCUUGCUGUGGCGAGGUUCCCUCUGCAUGAAAAACUCAAUGAACCUUUAAGAAUUUGAACAUCAAAGGAAAAGUUAAUUUAAAGAGAAACUAGAGUUUGCUGAAGAGCAUUCUGGAGGAGGCCUGUUGAUGGGCUUAAUUUUGCCUAUUAGAUGCCAAAAGCCAAGGAAGCCUGCUGGUUCUGGUUGAAAUGAAGGAAGCACAUUACCUACACUGUCUUUCCCCAGUGAUCAGAGUGGAAAAACCUGGACAGAGACGUGAAACCAGACAUGGGCUCUGCAAAGGGGAUCAGGGAGGAAAACAAAACACAAGGACAAAUACACUGUCAUGAAGCAGGUGCCUAAAACUCUUGAGAAGGAAAGCUCUUUCUGCUUGAAAAAGAAACUAAGGAAAGAGACCCAUGGAAACUGGAGAGGGCGGUACCUGAAGGAGGAGGGAGCUGAGGUGGUCUUCGAAGCCCCGGGUCCAACCUAAGCUGCACGUGCACGAAACUGACUUGAAAUACCAUACCAAAGGCUUCAAGAACUGAACUACAGUGCAGAUGGAACGGAAUGGCCCCUGGAGUGUGCAUGCUUGGGCUGGAUCUGGAUAGUACUGCAAGGCCUUUGAAAACUGAACUGGCAUUUGAACCACAGCUCAUAGAGGGUAAGCUGGAAUCUGAGGCUUCAACACAACUGGGUUGAUUUCCUGAUUCAAACAGCCAGGUGCAGCAGGGCACACCUGUGAUGCCAGUGACUCAGGAGGCUGAGGCAGGAGGAUUAUGUUCAAAGCCAGUCUCAGCAACUCAGUGAGACCCUAAGCAACUCAGUGAGACCCUGUCUCUAAAUAAAAUACAAAAAAGGGCUGGGGGUGUGGCUCAGUGGUAAUGUGCCCCUGAGUUCAACCCCUGGUACCAAAAACCAAAACAAACAAAAAACCCCUAACAAUACUGACAUUCUUCAGAAGAUUUUAACAGGAUCUAGUAUCUUGUAAUAUAAUAUUCAAAAUGCCCAGGACACAAUCCAAAAC